UGCCCAGCAUCUCCUAUCCCUACCUCCUCGUGGUACUGGCCGGGGUACGAGUAACCUUAGGGAAGAUCGGGUAGCCAACCCCGGUGGGAACUCUGGUCGUAUGCUGACAGGGAAGG
rnacentral:ribozyme from 1 species